rnacentral:rRNA from 1 species
GAUGAACGCUGGCGGCGUGCUUAACACAUGCAAGUCGAACGAAGAUGCCGGAGUGCUUGCACUUUGGCAGACUGAGUGGCGGACGGGUGAGUAACGCGUGGGUAACCUGCCUUAUACAGGGGGAUAACAGUUGGAAACGACUGCUAAUACCGCAUGACGCAUAGAGGUCGCAUGAUCUUUAUGCCAAAGAUUUAUCGCUUCAAGAUGGCCUCGCGUCUGAUUAGCUGGUUGGCGGGGUAACGGCCCACCAAGGCGACGAUCAGUAGCCGGACUGAGAGGUUGAACGGCCACAUUGGGACUGAGAUACGGCCCAGACUCCUACGGGAGGCAGCAGUGGGGAAUAUUGCACAAUGGGGGAAACCCUGAUGCAGCGACGCCGCGUGGAGGAAGAAGGUCUUCGGAUUGUAAACUCCUGUUGUUGAGGAAGAUAAUGACGGUACUCAACAAGGAAGUGACGGCUAAACUACGUGCCAGCAGCCGACGG